GGAAAACGAAGCCACUUGGAGUAGAUCUUUGCUAAGCAAAAGGGAAGAAGAAGUUUAGAGGAAGAUAAAAGAAUUUUACUAGUGUAGCAGGAUGCUGUAGGAUCCUGAAGGACUUUGGGCUUGUCAGAAAGUUGAUCUGCAGACCUUUACCCUCCUGAGCAGUGUUUUUGUGGCUGUGAUGACAGGAGGACAACACACACUGGCUCCUUUAGAAAGAACUCUCCAGGUUCAAAAACAGAUGGAUUUUUGGAGGUGCUGCAUGCUUCUAUCUCCUACAGAAACUGUUCCUGCUGUUCCAUCUCCCACCUCAUUCUCUCCACUCCAAGUAGAAGGUACUUGGGCAAAUGACUGGGAGUUCUCUUGAGAUCAAAUGAUGAGGGCAGCCAUCCUCCAAGGCCUCCUACAGCAGGCUACACAGGUAGGCAUCCAAGCAGAUCUUCAAUAUCUCCAGAGAAGAAUUCACAACUUCCCUGGGAAGCCUGUUCCAGUGCUCCAUCACCCUUACUGUGAAGAAGUUCCUUCAGAUAUAGAACAAUUGAAGACAAGACCAGACCCAGUACUGACCCCUAGGGAGAUGGACCCCCAAAAACCCAUAUUCUCCAAUUUGGAGUCAAGGAUAUCAUGUGGAACUGCAUCUAAUACUUUGCACAAGUCCAGGGUACAGGAUAAUUUUGUUGGC
ensembl:lncRNA